rnacentral:rRNA from 1 species
AUGUGGACCCGUCUUCGUGAGCGCUAUCAGCCCUCUGGUGAUGCAUUAUACCUCUCUGUGAUCCGUCAGGAGCAUGCUCUUCAGCAGGGUGACUCUACUGUUGAUGACUUCUAUGCACAGAGUUCUGCUAUCUAGUGCCAGCUUGAUUCUCUCCGUAGUGCUGGGUGUCGUACCUGCCCCUGUUGCCAGGCUGUCCAGGCUAAUUUGGAGUUUCAUCGCGUCUAUGAGUUCUUGUCUCAGCUCCGUAAGGAGUUUGAGCCCCGGCGUGCUCAGUUGUUUGCUCGUGGCCGUAUUUCUCUCAUGGAGGCGCUUUCUGAGAUUCGUGCUGAGGAGACUCGCUUACGUGGUGCUGGUUUGCUGGAGGUUCCCUCUGUGCUUGCUACUCGUGCUCCUACGCCACCUGCUCCAUCGACCACUUCUCGCUCGAGUGCUCCGCCGCUCUUGCCCACUCCUUCUGGAGGCUCAGGUCGCCCCCGUCCACAUUGCAUCUAUUGCAACAAUGAUGGUCAUCUUGAGUCUCAGUGCUACACGAAGAAGAAACACUUGCGCAAGGCUCGAUCAUCAUCUUCAGGGACUUCGUCAUCUACCUUGACAGCUUCAGCCAUUGCUUUGACUGAGCAGGAUAUUCUGAGACUUAAGCGUCUGCUCACGGCUUCAGGUUCUUCCUCGACGGGUACUGCCGGUUCUGUGACUGAUGCUUCCCGCACUGAGCAAUCACCCUCUACACAGUCAGGUACAUCCCCAUGGGUUCUGGACUCUGGAGCUUCUUUUCAUAUGUCUUCUCAUUCCUCCACUUUGUCCUCUCUUCGAUCACUGGAUUCUCCUAUUCAUGUCUUCACUGCUGAUGGUACUCCACUUUCUGUUGCUAGUAGAGGCAAUCUUACUACUCCUUCUUAUUUUGUUCCUGAUGUUGCUCAUGUUCCUCGACUUACCAUGAAUUUGUUUUCUGCUGGUCAACUUACUGAUUCUGGUUGUCGCGUCAUCCUCGAUGUUGACUCUUGUUCUGUCCAGGACCGUCACACGCACACUCUGGUUGGGGCUGGCCCUCGCCGCCGUGAUUCUCAGGGUCUUUGGGAGUUGGACUGGCUUCAUGUUCCUUCUGCUGCCACCACCAUCGCCAGUUCUUCCGCUUCUGUUGCCUCCGUCACUGGUUCCUUCCAGUAG